UACAAGUUUUUUCCUUUUGUUUCUAGCACAUAUCGAUGAAAUCGAGGAAGCUUCCUCCACUGACCAGGACACUGCCUAUGCAGAAAUUGUUGUUACCUUGACGGACAGUGACUAUGCAGAGACUGAUGUCACCUUGAGUGACAGUGAAGUGGAGACUGUGACAGACGGAGAAAGCCAUCAGACUCCUUCAAUGCUUGGACACUCCAGAUACCCCUGGAGCCAAAGUCCAAGCCUCCAUACUCAUGGGCCACAGGAGCCAAGCACCCGCAGCAGGGCCUCCACUGUGAUGCAGUGUUUCAGGCCGAAUCCAGCAGAGGUUGUGGACCUCACUGCUGACGAUGAUGAAGAUGCUUUAGCGUUUUGUUUUGGCUGAGAACUGCACUCCAGUAACUGAGGAAACAAACUAGAAUUGGAAACAGGGGAGGGAACGCGGUAGCACGUAUGACUACAUGAAUACAUCUGUAAGUUUCCCCACAUAUUGAGAAUUAUCUUCAGAAAUUAUCAGUUACAUCUUAGAAGGAAAUGGUCAGUCAUGAUUUUCUUAAAGGGUGAAGGCACGUCAUAUAUAAAUUUGUUAGCUUUGGG